UACAGAGGUCUCAAGCGUUGUUCGGAAUCACUGGGCGUAAAGGGUGCGUAGGCGGCGGAGUAAGUCGGGUGUGAAAUUUGAAGGCUCAACCUUCAACUAGCACCUGAUACUGCUUUGCUUGAGGUCUGAAGAGGAGCUUGGAAUUCUCGGUGUAGCAGUGAAAUGCGUAGAUUUCGAGAAGAACGCUCGCAGCAAAAGCGAAGCUCUGGUCAGAUUCUGACGCUGAGGCACGAAGGCUAGGGGAGCAAACGGG
rnacentral:rRNA from 1 species